rnacentral:rRNA from 1 species
AUUGAACGCUGGCGGCAGGCCUAACACAUGCAAGUCGAGCGGAUGAAGGGAGCUUGCUCCUGGAUUCAGCGGCGGACGGGUGAGUAAUGCCUAGGAAUCUGCCUGGUAGUGGGGGAUAACGUCCGGAAACGGGCGCUAAUACCGCAUACGUCCUGAGGGAGAAAGUGGGGGAUCUUCGGACCUCACGCUAUCAGAUGAGCCUAGGUCGGAUUAGCUAGUUGGUGGGGUAAAGGCCUACCAAGGCGACGAUCCGUAACUGGUCUGAGAGGAUGAUCAGUCACACUGGAACUGAGACACGGUCCAGACUCCUCAGGGAGGCAGCAGUAGGGAAUAUUGGACAAUGGGCGCAAGCCUGAUCCAGCCAUUCCGCGUGUGUGAAGAAGGUCUUCGGAUUGUAAAGCACUUUAAGUUGGGAGGAAGGGCAGUAAGUUAAUACCUUGCUGUUUUGACGUUACCAACAGAAUAAGCACCGGCUAACUUCGUG